rnacentral:tRNA from 1 species
CAUUUGGAUGGCGGUGUUGCUAUUUAUGGCUUCUAAAGCCAAAGAGAUCGAUGCCAAAACCGGUGCUGACACCAGUGCAAUUGA